GGUAUUUUGAGCCUGGAUUAAUGAUCAGCUUACCGGGAUCUUCGAUUUGAGGAUUUGAAAGGAGUGUUGGUGAAGAUCUAGAGUAUUUGAAGUUCUUGAGCUAAAGAAGUGAAAUUUGGAGUUUCAUUGAUGUUCUUAAGAGAGAGGUUACACUCAUUAUACGCGUACCCACAUGUUGAAUCUCUUAUGUGCCGAGUACAGGCACCGUGUACAUACACAAAUUACUUCUUGCGGUCACGGUGACUAUUUUGUUGAUUAAUAUGGAGAGCUUAUCUUAUAGAGAUCAGUUGGAACCUCAAUUCUUCAUUAAAGAUCCCAUCCAAAAACUCUGAUGUAGAUUUUAAUGACGUAUUUGGUGGCCCCCAAGGCAUUCUUCAAUACAUGAAUUGCGGCACAGUGUUGGAGAUGCUCUGGAUCUUAUGCGUAUGGAGAAGAAAGAGAAGGAGAAGAAGAAGCACUCGUCUCUUGCAGCUCAUGGUCUGCUCUGAGCGGGAAGUUGGUUUUUUGUGAAUAAGGUGAAAUACAAGUGAUGUUUAGGAUUUUGGUUCUAAAUGCAUAGUGAUAUUUAGGGUUUGGGUACAAGAAGAACAAAAGGGUAUAAUGAUCCUUCAAAAUUGGGGAAAGUAAGGGGAGAAUGAUAGGUUUGUAAGUUUACCAAUUUUGAGGAUAAUUUAGCCAUUUCAAAAAUAUCAAAUUGGAUAUGUCAUCACUUAACCUUUAGCCA